AGAGUCAUCGAGGAUCCAGCUUGUUCUUGAAUCAUUGAAGUUUGCACUCUGCAAGUGAACGACGCCUUGUGGUGCCAUCCCAAAGAGGUUCAUAAUCACUCUCAAGGACCUUUUCCUGGACCGUGUCCAGCUGGUGGAAUGACCUCCCAAUCUCAAUCCGAACUGAGUCUUUACUCAUUUUCAAGAAACAUCUUAAGACUCAUCUUUUUCACCAGAACUUAACCAACUAAUGCUAGCACUUUUCCUUCUUUUCUUGUCUUUUAUAUAUAUAUAUAUAUAUAUAUAUAUAUA